rnacentral:rRNA from 1 species
UACGAAGGGUGCAAGCGUUAAUCGGAAUUACUGGGCGUAAAGGGUGCGUAGGCGGUUGUUUAAGUCUGCCGUGAAAUCCCCGGGCUCAACCUGGGAAUGGCGGUGGAUACUGGCGAGCUAGAGUGUGUCAGAGGAUGGUGGAAUUCCCGGUGUAGCGGUGAAAUGCGUAGAGAUCGGGAGGAACAUCAGUGGCGAAGGCGGCCAUCUGGGACAACACUGACGCUGAAGCACGAAAGCGUGGGGAGCAAACAGG